UCCCCGGGGAAGCUGCAGUGGCUCCCCGGGGAAGCUGCAGUGGCUCCCCGGGGAAGCUGCAGUGGCUCCCCGGGGA
rfam:Picoides pubescens contig55393, whole genome shotgun sequence.